UGAUGUAAGUUCUUUAGUGCGUUGACAU
rnacentral:sRNA from 1 species